rnacentral:misc_RNA from 1 species
UCCCACUUGUCAUGGGCAGUUUCUUUAGAGUCCCCGGCAUAACCCGCUGGUAACUAAAGAUGAGGGUUGCGCUCGUUGCGGGACUUAACCCAACAUCUCACGACACGAGCUGACGACAGCCAUGCAGCACCUGUCUCUUCCCCGGCCGAACCGAGCCUUACAUUACAUAAGGUUUAGAAAGGAUGUCAAGUCCUGGUAAGGUUCUUCGCGUUGCCUCGAAUUAAACCACAUGCUCCACCGCUUGUGCGGGUCCCCGUCAAUUCCUUUGAGUUUUAAUCUUGCGACCGUACUCCCCAGGCGGGAUGCUUAACGCGUUAACUACGACGCCGAAACUAAUGUCCCGACAUCUAGCAUCCAUCGUUUAGGGCGUGGACUAC